GAAUAAAGAAAGAAUUGUAUGAGCUGGGUUUGUUUUGGUAUACUGUAUUGCUGUACAAGAAUAAUGAUGCAACAGCAAUACUACAAGCAACAUAGAAGAGCAUCAACAACACUGCCACAGUUAUACAUGGUAUAAGACACCAUAAGCAUGGUACUGUAGUGGUGGUGGUUAUGGUGGUAGUGGUGGUAGUAAUGGUGGUGAUGGUGGUAGAGUAAUUCAUUUAUUUUGAGACACUAGAACAAGCCACAAGUGCAACAUCAACAGCAAUUCCACUACAGUCUGUAACUUCAAUUAUACAAGGGAAAAUACAGUAGUGGUGGUGGUGGAUGGUUUAAUACAACAGUCACGAUACAAGCCCACAACAUCAGCAGAUUACAACAGCAGCAGCAGCAGCAGCACUACUAAUGCACAAUACUACAGCAGAUCUCAACAGUACCUCCAGCCACAGCAGCAGCAGCAGCAACACACCUACACACAAUACCAGAUGAAGGAGUUUCAAGGAUUGCACGAGGACAGGGUGAAGUACCUGCGCAACAAUUACCGUCCCUUGCAAGACCCGGGCACCAGGAAGGUGUAUGUCCGCCAUCGCUACCGCCCUCGCAGGGUCCUCGCCUGCACCACUCACUGACCACUCUUAUUUCAACUACAGCUCCUCCUUCACUUACGAUGGGGGUUACGUUCCCAUGAACCCAUUGUAAGUUGAAAAUAUCCUAACUCGAAAAUGUUGGAAUUGUGUUCCAACAAACCCACCGCCAGUCAACAAUAUCCUAACUCAAAAAUAUUGUAAAACUGAUAAUACUGGAAUUACGCUCCAAUUGCCCCAACAUAAGUCGGCAAUAUCCUAAAUCGAAAAUAUUGGGGUUAAAUUCCAACGAACCCAUCGUAAGUUGCCAAUAUCCUAAGUCGAAACUAUUGCAAAUUGAAAAUACAGUAUUGGGAUUACAUUCCAGUGAACCAUCAUAAGUGAAAAAUAUUGUUAAGUUGAAAAUAUUGUGAGUCAAAUAUAAAUAUGAUAUGCUAAGUAAAUAAAUAACUACUGUCACCGAAUAAGUAAAUAAACAAAUAAUUACUAUAACUAACCGAAUACCAGUAAUAAAAAGCAUAUACAGUAGAAUCCCUGUAUCAGCGGGGGAUACAUUCCAGGUAUCCACGGGGGAUACAUUCCAGGUAUCCACGGGGGAUACAUUCGAGGUGCCCGCAGGGGAUACAUUCCAGGUACCUGCGGGGGAUACAUUCCAGUUACCCGUGUGGGAUACAUUCCAGGUACCCACUGGGGAUACAUUCCAGGUACCCAUGGGGAUACAUUCCAGGUACCAGCAGGGGAUACAUUCCAGGUACCCAUGGGGAUACAUUCCAGAUACCCAUGGGGGAUACAUUCCAGGUACCCAUAGGGGAUACAUUUCCAGGUACCGCUGUGGAUACCAAAACCACGAAUAGUAGCAAACCCUACAGUAUAUAGAAAGCCACUUGUUAUGCUGAGCAUUUCCCGCAAAUUAGGUCAAUUUUGUCCCAGGAUGCGAACCACACCAGUCCACUAACAUCUAUACAUAUUGUGAUCUUAUUGCAUACCUGUUAUAAAAUUUAAUUGAUAAAUUAUGCACAGUAUGUGGAGACUGAUCACUUUGUCACUGAUGGGAAGCAAUUCACAACUUCUCUUAGGCUUUGAACAACUGUCAACUUCUCUACUCUUGUGCUUUGGGGCCGUUAUUAUGUACAAGUUAGGAACUUUUGGGGCAGUUAUUAUGUACAAGUUAGGGACUUUUGGGGCCGUUAUUACGUACAAGUUAGGGACUUGUCACCUUCAUGCUGGGUAAUUAUCUUAAGUGACAUCUCCAAAGUACAGUGGACCCCCGGUUAACGAUAUUUUUUCACUCCAGAAGUAUGUUCAGGUGCCAGUACUGACCGAAUUUGUUCCCAUAAGAAAUAUUGUGAAGUAGAUUAGUCCAUUUCAGACCCCCAAACAUACACGUACAAACGCACUUACAUAAAUACACUUACAUAAUUGGUCGCAUUCGGAGGUAAUCGUUAUGCGGGGGUCCACUGUAAUUGCUGCCCCACCAUCGUAAGUUAAAAUAUCAAAAGCCAAACCACUGUAGUCAAAAUAUUGUAAUUUAAAAUAUCUGAAGUCAAACCAUCGUAAGUUGAGGAGCACCUGUGCUGUACAUUAUUGGGAAGUAUUGUACAGUAGUGGGAAGUAUUGUACAAUAGUGGGAAGUACUGCCCAAUCGUGGGUUGUACAAUAGCGGGAAGUGUUGUAAAACAGUGAGAAGUACUGCCCAAUCGUGGGUUGUACAAUAGUGGGAAGUGUUGUACAAUAGUGAGAAAUACUGCCCAAUCGUGGGUUGUACAAUAGUGGGAAGUGUUGUACAACAGUGAGAAAUACUGCCCAAUCGUGGGUUGUACAAUAGUGGGAAGUGCUGUACAACAGUGAGAAAUACUGCCCAAUCGUGGGUUGUACAAUAGUGGGAAGUGUUGUACAAUAGUGAGAAAUACUGCCCAAUUGUGGGUUGUACAAUAGUGGGAAGUGUUGUACAACAGUGAGAAAUACUGCCCAAUCGUGGGUUGUACAAUAGUGGGAAGUGCUGUACAACAGUGAGAAAUACUGCCCAAUCGUGGGUUGUACAACAGUGGGAAGUGUUGUACAAUAGUGAGAAAUACUGCCCAAUCGUGGGUUGUACAACAGUGGGAAGUGUUGUACAAUAACUAUAUUUUUUACACUGAAAUUGUAUGUUGUACAGUGUUGCGAAUAAGAAAUUUUUUUUAAAGAACUUCAGAAUGUGGCCUGUUACCAUUUAUUUCUUAUGCAACAAGAUUUUUGGAUCCGAGUUAUAGGUAAUUUAGAGUCUAGGGGAAAUAAUUUCAACUGGGAAACUCCAUAGAAUAAUAUUCAAAUUUAUUAAAGUAUUUAAAUACAAUACUUUAUCUUCUCUUUGUAGUUAAUGUAACUUAAUACUUUGUACAAUAAAUUUAACAUAUACAUUUAGUUCAAAAUCAUGGAAAUGUCACAUUAAUAAGAAAGUUUAAUUAUUCUUCCUGUAAUUCAGUCUUCAAUAACAUUUACGUCUUUGUCUUAACAAGACUGUAAACUCAAAAUACAAAAGGUACAAGAUUUAACAAGACCUUUGAAUCUGGCCGUAAAGUAUCUCUAUGGAUUACUGAACUGACCAGGAAUAUAAAUAUCAAAAGAAUCUUUCAGAGUAAUGAGGAACAAAGUGAGUCAGCUCUAGAGUCCAAUUCUCAAAACCAUUCAACUGUACACCGUAAGAGCCAACAUACGAUCAGUUGUCAGGGCUAGAGCAGGGAGCGGACUGACUACUUGCCAGUCUGUUGAUGCGUCGUCAGGUUGGAUCACCUGACCCAACGUCAGUCAGCCGGACAUAAACAAUUGAACAAUUCACCGGAUGGUUCCGAGACUUAAACUCUAUAUACACAAGAAAUCCUACCUAACAAUAAUAGUGACAAUAAUAACAAUAAUAGUGAUAAUACCAUGGUAUUUUUCAUAUAUUAACAGAUAAUAAUAUAACGCCGAAAGUCUCUAUUUUAGCUAUAAACGGGGACUUUCGCGCUAUAAUAUUAAGUGAUGAACAUAUUCUCUUACAACAGUUAAAUAACACAGGAUGACCAAUUUCGAAGAUAUAACAGACAGAGUUAUAUAAAUGUAUAUUUUUUUAUAGUAGGACAGAGAUUUCAACUGGUAUUCACCUGAUGACCCCCAUUACCAAUUAAGACUUUAUGGGGGCUGGAAUGUCUAUGCUGUGAAGGAUAGCCCCCACUCUGUUUAAGCUGUGACAGAUAGCCCCCACUCUGUUUAAGCUGUGACAGAUAGCCCCCACUCUGUUUAAGCUGUGACAGAUAGCCCCCACUCUGUUUAAGCUGUGACAGAUAGCCCCCACUCUGUUUAAGCUGUGAAGAAUAGCCUGCACUCUGUGUAAGAAUUAUCCAAUGUCUGUGAAAUCAAAAUAAUGCAAAAAAUAAUAACAAAAAAAAUAAAUUAAUAUAUUACCAUAGCUUCAACUUCCAGUACAUAUAUUACAAAAAAUAAAACAAAAAUGAAUGCAGUAAGAGUACAAUAUAGCCAGUGGAGCAAUAAAAUCACAAACAGGUAAUCUCAAAAACACAAAAUAAGCCACUUGGGAAUGGAAAUCUUUAGAUCUUUCAUGUUCACUGUGCAUCAUCAGGAGCUAUGAAAUAUUGCAAGACAGUAACAUAUGCUAUGGGAAAUUCUCUGAGGUAUCAAUGGUGGCCCAUGACACUUGCUAGUCUUCAAACACUGCACAGCUCCUGAUGACGUACAGAAUGCAAAAGACCUUAAGCUAUAGAUUUCCAUGUGACUUGUUCUGUACACCCAGUGAAUUUUUAAAACUCCCCUAUAUCAAUGGUGUAUAUCUGUAGAAAGUUCCGGGUGGUCAACGUCCCCAUGGCCCGAUCUGUGACCAGGCCUCAUGGUGGACCAGGGCCUGAUCAACCAGGCUGUUACUGGUAGCUGCACACAGUCCAACGUAUGAACCACAGCCCAGCUGGUCAGGUACUGAUUUUAUGUGCCUGUCCAGUGCCUGCUUGAAGACAGUCAGGGGUCUAUUGGUAAUCCCCCUUAUGUAUGCUGGGAAGCAGUUGGGCAGUCUUGGGCCCCUGACACUUACUGUGUUGUCUCUUAUCAUGCUAGUGAAACCCCUGCUUUUCAUUGGGGGGAUGGUGCAUCGUCUGCCAAGUCUUUUGCUUUCAUACAGUGAUUUUCGUGUGCAAGUUUGGUACUAGUCCCUCUAGGAUUUUCCAAGUGUAUAUAAUCAUGUAUCUCUCCCGCCUGCAUUCUAAGGAGUAUACCUGCAGUAUACCUGGAGUAUACUUGUAAUUAUUCGUUCCAAACACGUUAUACUCGUGAAACUGAACCUUUUGUUCGGUAUACCAUACUGAACAACGUACAAGUGAGGAGUCAGAUCCACGUCCAAGAUCACAAGCCCUUGUUAACUGUCUGGUCAACCAGACUCUUGCUGCUAACAAACUACAAAACUAUAAUAAUCAAUUAUAAACAAAUAUAUUAACUUUAUAUA